CAAAGAUAAACAAUGGUCACCCUGUGUUGUUCAAAUAUGGAGCUCCUGUUCUUUUGUCUUGGAAUUUUUACUCUAACUGGAAUCGAAGGUAGUUUUCCAGCUAAUACAUCACAAGCUGGUCAAUGUAGGAACGGCUGGUCACACUACGAGGGCUCGUGUUAUUUGUUUGUCAACAACGAACAUGAUACCUGGAUUGAGGCAACAUCUCAUUGCAAUAUACUCCAUGGGUAUUUGGCGGACGUCUUAGACGAGAGGGAGAAUACAUUCUUAAAGUCAGAGCUACAGCACAUGCGUGCAAUAGGCAUGUAUAAAUACAAAGUCAUUCCAUUGGCUAUGAUGACUAAUACACUCUAUCACUAAAAGAAAUGUUGUAAUAAAUGUUACCCUUAUCUCUUCAAAAUUAACAUAAUCGCAUCAAUGAUAUAUCUAUGUAAUAUUAAUUAAAAGAAUAGUGCAUUAUAACUUCAACACACUAUAAGCAUUUAAUAUGUUUUAAACCAUUUAGGGUGUUACUACAUUAGUGCCACGGAUGUAGAGAUGGAGGGACGGUGGGUCUGGCCGAACACUGAUACUCCAGUUGAAUACUCGGACUGGGGAUCGGGAGAGCCAGAGAAAAAUGGAGGCGGAGAAAACUGUGCUUGUCUACGUGAAAGUAAACACUUCCAGUGGAUAGAUGUGCCCUGUCAUUCACUACGACAUUUUAUUUGCAAAAUGAGGUUAGGUGAUGAUGGGAUGCAUGAGAUCAUUGGAUGAAAAGUGAAAUCUAAUUCGAUUAUUUGUAUUCGGUUAAUUGUUGAUUGAGUUACAAAUAAUCAAGCAUGUUUUAUUUAGUUA